AGGAAAUUAGCCGAAUGGGGCUAGAGCAUUCCGAUUUGAUCGGAAGUGGUCAACGGUUCGACUCCGUUAUUCUCCACCA
rnacentral:tRNA from 1 species